rnacentral:rRNA from 1 species
UAGGGAAUCUUCCACAAUGGGCGCAAGCCUGAUGGAGCAACGCCGCGUGAGUGAAGAAGGUUUUCGGAUCGUAAAGCUCUGUUGUAAGAGAAGAACGUGUGUGAGAGUGGAAAGUUCACACAGUGACGGUAACUUACCAGAAAGGGACGGCUAACUACGUGUCAG